CGGCCAUUUUGUUUGGAAGUUUGGGAAGAAAGGAGUAGGAGAUUACGUUCCUUGUUUAUUUUCCGAUUGCAAAAAGCGAUUAAUUAGGUCUGUGUUGAAAAUUAUAACGAAAGUCUUCCUUACACGACAUUUCGAUCUACAGAGAUAAGUCAGAAAUACCGACCCAGUUAACUACGUGGCAGCCUAAAUCAGGAGCGCGAAAACAACAAGCCAUUCAUUUUGCAAGCGUGGUCGGUGUCGGUGGCCUUUCUCAUGGCCGCUAGGUUCUGCUAGAUUCUUUUUACCAAAAUACGUUGUAAAGUUGUGCGUCCUUAUUCAGUUUGCAUGCAGUUUCGCUCGCCUUGAACAUCUAAACGUUUUAGUAGUAUUUACAGAAUAACCGAUCAAGGGAAGUAGCUAACGCUAGCUAAAUACCCAGCUAGCUAGCGAGCUAACGUUAGCUAUCAAAGGAAGCUCUGACGUAGGUACAAGAUAGUGCAACUUGCGCCUGCACGAAUCAAACGGUGAAAAUGGCAGAGUUAUACAUUCGUGUGGCGGAGGACGAAAAUGAGGAGCCGAUGGAGAUUCCGUCCGAGGACGAUGGCACGGUGCUACUGUCCACAGUGGCAGCGCAGUUUCCCGGAGCCUGCGGCCUACGUUACCGGAGUCCUGUCUCUCAGUGCAUGCGUGGUGUGCGUCUGGUUGAAGGAAUUCUGCACGCCCCUGAGAACGACUGGGGAAAUCUCGUCUACGUCGUCAAUUAUCCAAAAGAUAACAAAAGGAAAAUGGACGAGGUGGAUGCCGCAUCGGCCGUAAAGAUAAAGAGAGGCGUUCAGAAGACAUCAGACUUGAUUGUCCUCGGCUUGCCGUGGAAAACAUCCGAGCAGGACCUUAAGGACUACUUCAGCACUUUCGGAGAAGUGAUUAUGGUGCAGGUCAAAAGAGAUGUUAAAACUGGUAACUCCAAAGGCUUUGGCUUCGUGAGGUUCACAGAGUACGAGACCCAAGUGAAAGUCAUGUCGCAGCGACACAUGAUUGACGGAAGAUGGUGCGACUGCAAACUUCCCAAUUCUAAGCAAGGCCCUGACGAGCCCAUGCGGAGCCGAAAAGUUUUUGUUGGCCGUUGCACCGAAGACAUGACCGCCGAGGAGCUGCGGCAGUUCUUCAUGCAGUAUGGGGAGGUCACAGAUGUCUUCAUCCCCAAGCCUUUCCGGGCCUUUGCCUUUGUGACGUUUGCCGAUGACCAGGUCGCCCAGUCCCUGUGUGGAGAGGACCUGAUCAUUAAGGGCGUCAGCGUGCACAUCUCCAACGCCGAGCCUAAGCACAAUAAUAUUCAUCACCUCUUUUCCAAUUUCCCGGGAAGAAGCCCCUCGUUGGCAGCAAUGUUGGAGCGAUCUCAGUAUCAGUUCCCCUCUUCCCAUGUGUAAAUGCUUUGCCAUCAAAGAGCGCAGCUUCACUCCGCAUUUACUGUGUUAGACGGGACCUCGGAUACCGCUGACCCAGGUUUACAUCUGAACCCAGAGCGAAGUCAGUUUUCGGGAGGCUGAAGACCGGAGUCAGCGGAGUGUUGGUGGUCCCGACACUAGCUAACAGUGGGGAAUGCAGCCGAAUGCCUUAUACCUGAAAAGGGACUUCUUCACUUCAUUGUAACAAGAUCCCUGGAAACUCAUCUCUAAAAAAUUUUAAAUGGACAAUUCGAAAUUAGCGAAGAGGUAUUCAUUUAUGCCUUAAAUUUUAAUUUUUAAAAAGGCAGGGCCAAAUACGGAAAUCUUGUUCAUGAAACACUUGUGUAGCUGAGUAUCCCCCCCUCACUCCCCUACAAGUGACUCUAAAGUGCAAAGAGAAAGUAAUUUUAAGUCUUUGGUCUGUUAAUUUACUUAUUUUUCUUGUGUAUUCUGGCACAUUUGUCAAAUAGGUCUUGUUUUUUUUUUCUCUUUACAAACAUGCAUUUUGUGUUAAAUGCUUUGAACCACACUGGCUAUUUCUGUAACUGUAAUUAAAUGCUAAGAUUUUACAACUUAAAUAGCAUUUUUUCCAAAGCAGUCUGUGGGUACUGAUGUUUAGCCGUUUAGAUAUCACCCUUCAUUGUGGUUAAAAUGUAAAGUAAUUCGGCUCAGACUGAGAGGUCUGCUUGUGGCUUUACGAUGGAGACGCUGUGGAAAGGGGCCCAGUUGUAUGACUUGUGUCACUUUUGCAGGGUUUGGGACAUUGACAUUGCACAGCUAAUAAAACUUGCCACCAGGAAUCGAAUCACCUCUGUAUCAGAUUUCAAGUCUUAUUUUUAGUCAUUUGAAAUAAACUUUUAAAGUUUUCAACAUUUGUUUUUAUUUUACCCCCCCCAUCAGCAAUUCCUGUGACAGAAUCGACCAAAUUUAGUUUGUGAUUAAG